rnacentral:rRNA from 1 species
UAUUACACAGACCACCGAUUGCGAAGGCAGCUCACUAAACUAAUAUUGACGCUGAGGCACGAANGCGUGGGGAGCGAACAGGAUUAGAUACCCUGGUAGUCCACGCUGUAAACUAUGAUCACUCGCUGUUGGCAAUACAUCGUCAGCGGCUGAGCGAAAGCAUUAAGUGAUCCACCUGGGGAGUACGGUCGCAAGAUUGAACUNCAAAGGAAUUGACGGGGGCCCGCACAAGCGGAGGAACAUGUGGUUUAAUUCGAUGAUACGCGAGGAACCUUACCUGGGCUUAAUGCUAGGACGACGUUCGCCGAAAGGUGAAUUUCUUCGGACGGACUGCAAGGUGCUGCAUGGCUGUCGUCAGCUCGUGCCGUGAGGUGUCGGGUAAAGUCCCAUAACGAGCGCAACCCUNAUCGUUAGUUGCCAGCGGGUAAUGCCGGUGACUCUAGCGAACUGCCAUCGUCACACUGUGAGCCAGGUGGGGAUGACGUCAAUNCAGCACGGCCCUAAUGUCCAGGGCUACACACGUGUACCAAUGUCGAACCNAAGGGCAGCUACUGGUGACAAGAUGCUA